rnacentral:sRNA from 1 species
GCUGGGUGUGGUGGCACAUGCCUGUAAUCCCAGCUGCUAGGGAGGCUGAGGCAGGAGGAUCAUUAACUUGAGGCCAGCCUGGGUCAUGUAGCUAAGACUCUGUCUCAA